rnacentral:rRNA from 1 species
AGCGAACGCUGGCGGCAGGCUUAACACAUGCAAGUCGAACGGGCACUUCGGUGCUAGUGGCAGACGGGUGAGUAACACGUGGGAACGUACCUUUCGGUUCGGAAUAAUUCAGGGAAACUUGGACUAAUACCGGAUACGCCCUUCGGGGAAGAUUAUCGCCGAUAGAUCGGCCCGCGUCUGAUUAGCUAGUUGGUGAGGUAAUGGCUCACCAAGGCGACGAUCAGUAGCUGGUCUGAGAGGAUGAUCAGCCACAUUGGGACUGAGACACGGCCCAACUCCUACGGGAGGCAGCAGUGGGGAAUAUUGGACAAUGGGCGCAAGCCUGAUCCAGCCAUGCCGCGUGAGUGAUGAAGGCCUUAGGGUUGUAAAGCUCUUUUGUCCGGGAAGAUAAUGACGGUACCUGACUAAGAAGCCCCGGCUAACUACGUGCCAGCAGCCGCGGUAAGAGUCACGUCG